UACAGAGGGGGCAAGCGUUGUUCGGAAUUACUGGGCGUAAAGCGUGCGUAGGUGGUUUGUUAAGUCUGAUGUGAAAGCCCUGGGCUCAACCUGGGAAUUGCAUUCGAGACUGAAUAGCUAGGGUACGGUAGAGGGAAGCGGAAUUUCCGGUGUAGCGGUGAAAUGCGUAGAUAUCGGAAGGAACAUCAGUGGCGAAAGCGGCUUCCUGGACCAGUACCGACGUCAGGCACGAAAGCGUGGGGAGCAAACAGG
rnacentral:rRNA from 1 species